AGAAUUGAUAAGAGUAAAGAGUGAAAAAGAAGAGGGGAGCCUUACAUGGAGAUGGAGAGGCUACUCCCUUUGGUAGCCAAGAAUGACUUGCCUAUGUGUUUUGCCUUGUGUUGGCUCAUCCAUCCAUCUAUCAGCCGUUGCAGAUUUGCAGUGGCAGAUUAAAGGGUUUCAGAAAGAAAUUCUUGUGAUGGAUGUGCAAUGUGGCUGCAUGGGCCGGUCUUCUUGGCUAGCCAGAGUGGCUCUCAUCCACCAUGCCAGGCCACUCCUCUUCUGAA
rnacentral:sRNA from 1 species